rnacentral:rRNA from 1 species
AUUGAACGCUGGCGGCAGGCCUAACACAUGCAAGUCGAGCGGAUGACGGGAGCUUGCUCCUUGAUUCAGCGGCGGACGGGUGAGUAAUGCCUAGGAAUCUGCCUGGUAGUGGGGGGCAACGUUUCGAAAGGAACGCUAAUACCGCAUACGUCCUACGGGAGAAAGCAGGGGACCUUCGGGCCUUGCGCUAUCAGAUGAGCCUAGGUCGGAUUAGCUAGUAGGUGAGGCAAUGGCUCACCUAGGCGACGAUCCGUAACUGGUCUGAGAGGAUGAUCAGUCACACUGGAACUGAGACACGGUCCAGACUCCUACGGGAGGCAGCAGUGGGGAAUAUUGGACAAUGGGCGAAAGCCUGAUCCAGCCAUGCCGCGUGUGUGAAGAAGGUCUUCGGAUUGUAAAGCACUUUAAGUUGGGGGGAAGGGCAGUAAGUUAAUACCUUGCUGUUUUGACGUUACCGACAGAAUAAGCACCGGCUAACUCUGUGCCAGCAGCCGCGGUAAUAC